rnacentral:misc_RNA from 1 species
CAACCCUCAGGCCCCCGGGCCUGGCGUUGGGGAUCGGCGGAGCCCCCCGUGGGCACACGCCGUCCCCCAAAUACAGUGGCGGUCCCGCCGCAGCUUCCAUUGCGUAGUAGCUAACACCUCGCAACUGGAGAGCGGCGCGGCCACGCCGUAAAACACCCAACUUCUGAAUG